AUUCUUACCUGGCAGGGGAGAUACCAGGAUCAUGAAGGUAGUUUUCCCAGGGUGAGGCUCAUCCAUUGCACUCCAGAUGUGCUGACCCUGCGAUUUCCCCAAAUGUGGGAAACUCGACUGCAUACUUUGUGGCAGUGGGGGACUGCGUUUGUGCUCUCCCCCC
rnacentral:snRNA from 1 species